CGCAUCUGUGCAUGCAGCAUAUCAAUAAGCGGAGGAAAAGAAACUAACAAGGAUUCCCCUAGUAACGGCGAGUGAAGCGGGAAGAGCUCAAAUUUGAAAUCUUCAAGGUUUUACCUUGACGAAUUGUAGUUUAAAGAAGUGUUUUCUGCUGAAGUUUUGGUAAAAGUUCUCUGGAAUAGGACAUCAUAGAGGGUGAGAAUCCCGUAUUUGACCAUUUACUUUUCAGCUUUGUGAUACACUUUCAAAGAGUCGGAUUGUUUGGGAAUGCAGUCCAAAAUGGGUGGUAAAUUUCAUCUAAAGCUAAAUAUUGGCGAGAGGACCGAUAGCGAACAAGUACCGUGAGGGAAAGAUGAAAAGAACUUUGAAAAGAGAGUUAAACAGUACGUGAAAUUGUCAAAAGGGAAGCGUUUGACACCAGUGUUGUUUUCUCGAAAAUCAAUUAAAAAUGGCUCGAUUUUGUAUUGCUUGAGACCUUAAAAGCUCACUGUACAUUUUUCGUGUCUUUUUUAAUGCACUUUUCGUUUAACAAGUCAACAUCAGUUUCUUUUGUUGUAAAAGGGUCAUUGGAAGGUGGCUUUCUUUUCGGAGAAAGUGUUUAUAGCCUUUGGCCUCUGCAAUCGAAGAGACUGAGGUCUGCAGCGUAGACUCUUCGGGGUUAGAUACAUUUGUGCUAAGUUAUAGCUUUUUAUAGACAACUUGUUGACUAUAAUUAGUCUUGUAGCUUACUCGCUUAUGCUAUUUUACCUACGCUUAGGAUGUUGAUAGUCACAGCGUGUAC
rnacentral:rRNA from 1 species